rnacentral:rRNA from 1 species
GGAAGUAAAAGUCGUAACAAGGUUUCCGUAGGUGAACCUGCGGAAGGAUCAUUAUCGAGUUUUGAAUGGGGUUGUCGCUGCCCUUACGGGGGAUUGUGCACGCCUCGCUCAUCCACUCUACACCUGUGCACUUACUGUAGGCUUCGAAUUGUAACGUCGAGGGCUUUAAACGGCCUUUGGCGGAGCGUUCGGGCUUAUGUUUAUUACAAACCACAAAGUAUUAGAAUGUCUAUUGCGAAUAUAACGCAUCUAUAAACAACUUUCAGCAACGGAUCUCUUGGCUCUCGCAUCGAUGAAGAACGCAGCGAAAUGCGAUAAGUAAUGUGAAUUGCAGAAUUCAGUGAAUCAUCGAAUCUUUGAACGCACCUUGCGCUCCUUGGUAUUCCGAGGAGCAUGCCUGUUUGAGUGUCAUGAAAUCUUCAACCUAUAAGCCUUUGCGGGUUUAUAUGGCUUGGACUUGGAGGCUUUGUCGGCUUUAAUAAGUCGGCUCCUCUUAAAUGCAUUAGCUUGGUUCCUUGCGGAUCGGCUGCCAGUGUGAUAAUUGUCUACGCUGCGACCGUGAAGCGUUUGGCGAGCUUCUAACCGUCUUGUUAAUGAGACACUAUUAUGACCUCUGACCUCAAAUCAGGUAGGACUACCCGCUGAACUUAAGCAUAUC